rnacentral:rRNA from 1 species
GACGAACGCUGGCGGCGUGCUUAACACAUGCAAGUCGAACGGAAAGGCCCUGCUUUUGUGGGGUGCUCGAGUGGCGAACGGGUGAGUAACACGUGAGUAACCUGCCCUUGACUUUGGGAUAACUUCAGGAAACUGGGGCUAAUACCGGAUAGGAGCUCCAGCUGCAUGGUGGGGGUUGGAAAGUUUCGGCGGUUGGGGUUGGACUCGCGGCUUAUCAGCUUGUUGGUGGGGUAGUGGCUUACCAAGGCUUUGACGGGUAGCCGGCCUGAGAGGGUGACCGGCCACAUUGGGACUGAGAUACGGCCCAGACUCCUACGGGGGGCAACAGUGGGGAAUAUUGCACAAUGGGCGGAAGCCUGAUGCAGCAACGCCGCGUGCGGGAUGACGGCCUUCGGGUUGUAAACCGCUUUCGCCUGUGACGAAGCGUGAGUGACGGUAAUGGGUAAAGAAGCACCGGCUAACUACGUG